UAGUGUUAAGAAAUAUAAUUAUGGCUCUGCAGCAAAGGUGUGGCAAUAAUAAUCUUGGUCUUGUUGCUGUUUUCAUAGUUCUAAUGGUGGUUUCUUCCCCUGAUCUCAUGCUAAUUACUACCUCCCAUGCAGCUCGUUUGGCCAAAAUAGAUCCCCCAAUGUGUCCUCAAUGCAUGUGUUGUAGUUCUCCACCACCAGGCUUUUGCUGUGAUUGUUGCUCCAAUUCUCAGUUGCCACCAUGAAUAUAAUUCAUUCUCGUUACAUAUGUAACGUAAGACGUAAUAUUGUUAAAUCUUUCAUAAUCCAUCGUAUAUUGGAUUAAUUAAGCUUUAUAUACAUAUAUAUAUCUAUGUAACUUCUAAACAAUAACCUUUUAGUUACUUUAUUUUUCGUUGUGUGUGUAACCUACUGCUUAUUGAUAUAUAUAAUAUUAUUAUAUUGAA